AGCGAACGCUGGCGGCAGGCCUAACACAUGCAAGUCGAGCGCCCCGCAAGGGGAGCGGCAGACGGGAGAGUAACACGUGGGAACGUACCCUUCAGUUCGGAACAACCAAGGGAAACUUUGGCUAAUACCGAAUACGUCCGUAAGGAGAAAGAUUUAUCGCUGAAGGAUCGGCCCGCGUCGGAUUAGCUAGUUGGUGGGGUAAUGGCCCACCAAGGCGACGAUCAGUAGCUGGUCUGAGAGGAUGAUCAGCCUCACUGGGACUGAGACACGGCCCAGACUCCUACGGGAGGCAGCAGUGGGGAAUAUUGGACAAUGGGCGCAAGCCUGAUCCAGCCAUGCCGCGUGGAUGAUGAAGGCCCUAGGGUUGUAAAGUCCUUUCGGGGGGGAAGAUAAUGACGGUACCCGCAGAAGAAGCCCCGGCUAACUUCGUGCCAGCAGCCGCCGUAAUAC
rnacentral:rRNA from 1 species